rnacentral:rRNA from 1 species
GACAGAGGGUGCCAACGUUGCUCGGAAUUACUGGGCGUAAAGCGUGCGCAGGCGGUUUUGUAAGCCAGAUGUGAAAUCCCCGGGCUUAACCUGGGAAUGGCAUUUGGGACUGCAAGGCUUGAGUGCGGCAGAGGAGACUGGAAUUCCUGGUGUAGCAGUGAAAUGCGUAGAUAUCAGGAGGAAUACCGAUGGCGAAGGCAGGUCUCUGGGCUGACACUGACGUCAUGC